rnacentral:tRNA from 1 species
GUUAAAAUAGCUUAAGUAUAAAGUUUAAUUUUGAAGAAAUUAUCAUAGAGUUUACUCUUUUUAACA